GUUAAGAAUCUUGCACAAUGGGCGCAAGCCUGAUGCAGCGACGCCGCGUGGAUGAUGAAGGCCUUCGGGUUGUAAAGUCCGGUAAGCAGGGAAGAAUAAGCAACGGGUAAUAUUCGUUGUGAUGACGGUACCUGCCUAAAGCCCAGGCGAACUACGUGCCAGCAGCCGCGGUAAUACGUAUGGGGCAAGCGUUGACCGGAAUUAUUGGGCGUAAAGGGCGUCUAGGCGGGGGAUUAAGUUAGAUGUGAAAGCUAUGGGCUCAACCCAUAAAUUGCAUCUAAGACUGGUUCUCUUGAGUCCGGGAGAGGAGAGCGGAAUUCCAGGUGUAGCGGUGAAAUGCGUAGAUAUUCGGAAGAACACCAGUGGCGAAGGCGACUCACUGGCCCAAUACUGACGCUGAGGCGCGAAAGCGUGGGGAGCAAACAGGAUUAGAAACCCCAGUAGUCC
rnacentral:rRNA from 1 species